rnacentral:rRNA from 1 species
AUUGAACGCUGGCGGCAGGCCUAACACAUGCAAGUCGAACGGUAGCACAGAGAGCUUGCUCUUGGGUGACGAGUGGCGGACGGGUGAGUAAUGUCUGGGAAACUGCCCGAUGGAGGGGGAUAACUACUGGAAACGGUAGCUAAUACCGCAUAACGUCUUCGGACCAAAGUGGGGGACCUUCGGGCCUCACACCAUCGGAUGUGCCCAGAUGGGAUUAGCUAGUAGGUGGGGUAAGGGCUCACCUAGGCGACGAUCCCUAGCUGGUCUGAGAGGAUGACCAGCCACACUGGAACUGAGACACGGUCCAGACUCCUACGGGAGGCAGCAGUGGGGAAUAUUGCACAAUGGGCGCAAGCCUGAUGCAGCCAUGCCGCGUGUAUGAAGAAGGCCUUCGGGUUGUAAAGUACUUUCAGCGGGGAGGAAGGCGAUGGAGUUAAUAGCUUCAUCGAUUGACGUUACCCGCAGAAGAAGCACCGGCUAACUCCGUGCCAGCCGCCGCAGUAA